CGGGAUAUUGCGUAGUAAGGUUAUCGCGCCUGGUUUGGGACCAGGAGGUCAUAGGUUCGAAUCCUAUUAUCCCGA
rnacentral:tRNA from 2 species